rnacentral:tRNA from 1 species
GUGUAGCUUAAUCAAAGCGUGACACUGAAGAUGUUAAGAUGAAUCRUGAAACAUUCCACAAA